rnacentral:tRNA from 1 species
GUUCUUUUAGUCUAAUGCUUAGUUUAAUAUCUAGAAGGAUAUUGCCAUUUAUGGUAAAGGUACGGGUUCAAGUCCCGUAAAGGACU